rnacentral:rRNA from 1 species
UCCGCAGGAGGUUUGUUAAAAUUGGGGUGAAAUCCCGGAGCUCAACUCCGGAACUGCCUUGAUGACUGACGAACUAGAGUGCUGGAGAGGUAAGCGGAAUACCAGGUGUAGCGGUGGAAUGCGUAGAUAUCUGGUAGAACACCAAUGGCGAAGGCAGCUUACUGGACAGCAACUGACUCUCAUGGACGAAAGCGUGGGGAGCAAACAGGAUUAGAUACCCCCGUA